GUGGGGAAUAUUAGGCAAUGGGCGAAAGCCUGACCUAGCAACGCCGCGUGAAGGAAGAAGGCCUUCGGGUUGUAAACUUCUUUUAUGAGGGACGAAGGACGUGACGGUACCUCAUGAAUAAGCCACGGCUAACUACGUGCCAGCAGCCGCGGUAAUACGUAGGUGGCGAGCGUUGUCCGGAUUUACUGGGUGUAAAGGGCGCGUAGGCGGACUGGCAAGUCAGAUGUGAAAUACAGGGGCUCAACCCCUGAACUGCCUUUGAAACUCCCAGUCUUGAGUUCGAGAGAGGUGAGUGGAAUUCCGAGUGUAGAGGUGAAAUUCGUAGAUAUUCGGAGGAACACCAGUGGCGAAGGCGGCUCACUGGCUCGAUACUGACGCUGAGGUGCGAAAGCGUGGGGAGCAAACAGGAUUAGAUACCCUUGUAGUCC
rnacentral:rRNA from 1 species